CGAGCGAAAUGGGAUGAGCCUUGCACUCUUUAUUUGUAUUGUUAGCCGAACGCUCUGGAAAGUGCGGCCAUAGCAGGUGAUAGCCCUGUAGGCGAAAACAGUAUGAAAGAACUAGGUGUGCGACAAGUAGGGCGGGACACGUGAAAUCCUGUCUGAAGAUGGGGGGACCAUCCUCCAAGGCUAAAUACUCGUGAUCGACCGAUAGUGAACCAGUACCGUGAGGGAAAGGCGAAAAGAACCCCGGGAGGGGAGUGAAAUAGAUCCUGAAACCGCAUGCAUACAAACAGUCGGAGCCUCGCAAGGGGUGACGGCGUACCUUUUGUAUAAUGGGUCAGCGACUUACGUUCAGUAGCAAGCUUAACCGUAUAGGGCAGGCGUAGCGAAAGCGAGUCCGAAUAGGGCGUUCAGUUGCUGGGCGUAGACCCGAAACCAGGUGAUCUAUCCAUGGCCAGGAUGAAGGUGCGGUAACACGUACUGGAGGUCCGAACCCACUAACGUUGAAAAGUUAGGGGAUGAGCUGUGGAUAGGGGUGAAAGGCUAAACAAACCUGGAAAUAGCUGGUUCUCUCCGAAAACUAUUUAGGUAGUGCCUCGUGUCUCACCUUCGGGGGUAGAGCACUGUCAUGGUUGGGGGGUCUAUUGCAGAUUACCCCGCCAUAGCAAACUCCGAAUACCGAAGAGUGCAAUCACGGGAGACAGACAUCGGGUGCUAACGUCCGGUGUCAAGAGGGAAACAACCCAGACCGCCAGCUAAGGUCCCCAAAUAUAGCUAAGUGGGAAACGAAGUGGGAAGGCUAAAACAGUCAGGAGGUUGGCUUAGAAGCAGCCACCCUUUAAAGAAAGCGUAAUAGCUCACUGAUCGAGUCGUCCUGCGCGGAAGAUGUAACGGGGCUAAGCUAUAUACCGAAGCUGCGGAUGCGAGCUUGCUCGCAUGGUAGGAGAGCGUUCCGUAAGCCUGCGAAGGUGCCUUGUAAAGGGUGCUGGAGGUAUCGGAAGUGCGAAUGCUGACAUGAGUAGCGAUAAAGGGGGUGAAAGGCCCCCUCGCCGUAAGCCCAAGGUUUCCUACGCAACGUUCAUCGGCGUAGGGUGAGUCGGCCCCUAAGGCGAGGCAGAAAUGCGUAGCUGAUGGGAAGCAGGUCAAUAUUCCUGCACCAUUGUUAGAUGCGAUGGGGGGACGGAUCGCGGAAGGUUGUCCGGGUGUUGGAAGUCCCGGUCGCUGCAUUGGAGAAGGCGCUUAGGCAAAUCCGGGCGCGCAAUUCAAGGGUGUGGCGCGAGCUCCUUAGGGAGCGAAGCAAUUGGAAGUGGUUCCAAGAAAAGCCUCUAAGCUUCAGUCUAACGAUGACCGUACCGCAAACCGACACAGGUGGGCGAGAUGAGUAUUCUAAGGCGCUUGAGAGAACUCGGGAGAAGGAACUCGGCAAAUUGGUACCGUAACUUCGGGAUAAGGUACGCCCUUGUAGCUUGACUGGCCUGCGCCAGGAGGGUGAAGGGGUUGCAAUAAACUGGUGGCUGCGACUGUUUAAUAAAAACACAGCACUCUGCAAACACGAAAGUGGACGUAUAGGGUGUGACGCCUGCCCGGUGCCGGAAGAUUAAAUGAUGGGGUGCAAGCUCUUGAUUGAAGUCCCGGUAAACGGCGGCCGUAACUAUAACGGUCCUAAGGUAGCGAAAUUCCUUGUCGGGUAAGUUCCGACCUGCACGAAUGGCGUAACGAUGGCCACACUGUCUCCUCCCGAGACUCAGCGAAGUUGAAGUGUUUGUGAUGAUGCAAUCUACCCGCGGCUAGACGGAGAGACCCCAUGAACCUUUACUGUAGCUUUGCAUUGGACUUUGAACCGAUCUGUGUAGGAUAGGUGGGAGGCUAUGAAACCGGAACGCUAGUUUCGGUGGAGCCGUCCUUGAAAUACCACCCUGGUUUGUUUGAGGUUCUAACCUUGGCCCGUGAUCCGGGUCGGGGACAGUGCAUGGUAGGCAGUUUGACUGGGGCGGUCUCCUCCCAAAGCGUAACGGAGGAGUACGAAGGUACGCUAGGUACGGUCGGAAAUCGUGCUGAUAGUGCAAUGGCAUAAGCGUGCUUAACUGCGAGACCGACAAGUCGAGCAGGUGCGAAAGCAGGUCAUAGUGAUCCGGUGGUUCUGUAUGGAAGGGCCAUCGCUCAACGGAUAAAAGGUACUCUGGGGAUAACAGGCUGAUACCGCCCAAGAGUUCAUAUCGACGGCGGUGUUUGGCACCUCGAUGUCGGCUCAUCUCAUCCUGGGGCUGUAGCCGGUCCCAAGGGUAUGGCUGUUCGCCAUUUAAAGAGGUACGUGAGCUGGGUUUAAAACGUCGUGAGACAGUUUGGUCCCUAUCUGCCGUGGGCGUUGGAUAUUUGAAGGGGGCUGCUCCUAGUACGAGAGGACCGGAGUGGACGAACCUCUGGUGUACCGGUUGUCACGCCAGUGGCAUCGCCGGGUAGCUAUGUUCGGAAGAGAUAACCGCUGAAAGCAUCUAAGCGGGAAACUCGCCUUAAGAUGAGAUAUCCCUGGGGACUAGAUCCCCUUGAAGGGUCGUUCGAGACCAGGACGUUGAUAGGUCAGGUGUGUAAGCGCAGUAAUGCGUUCAGCUAACUGAUACUAAUUGCCCGUAAGGCUUGAUCCU
rnacentral:rRNA from 1 species